rnacentral:lncRNA from 1 species
UUAAAUCUGUUACUGUGACCUUUAAUUUGAUAUGCAUAUUAAAUAUUUUAUAAUUAAUUAAAUUUCACAAAUUUUGGAAGAAAUAAAACAAAACAAAAAAUAAAAAGAGAAAAAAAGAAAAUAAAAUGAUAAAAAAAGAAAAAAUAUAGUUUAUAAAUAAACCUUCAAUUUUAUUAUAACUCCAAAAUUGUCACUCCAAUUGAAAUCUUGUCUUUUGAAAGGUUAAUUUUUUUCCUUUUUUUCUUCC